GACGGGGCCCGCACAAGCAGCGGAGCGUGUGGUUUAAUUCGAUGCAACACGAAGAACCUCACCAAGACUUGACAUGACGGAAGUAGUGAACCGAAAGGGAACGACCUGUUAAGUCAGGAGCCGCCACAGGUGCUGCAUGGCUGUCGUCAGCUCGUGCCGUGAGGUGUUGGGUUAAGUCCCGCAACGAGCGCAACCCUCGUUGCCAGUUAAAUUCUCUGGCGAGACUGCCCCGCAAAACGGGGAGGAAGGUGGGGAUGACGUCAAGUCAGCACGGCCCCUAUGUCUUGGGCGACACACACGCUACAAUGGAUGGUACAAUUGGUCGCAAUGGGGUGACCCGGAGCUAAUCCGAAAAACCAUCCACAGUUCGGAUUGCAGGCUGAAACUCGCCUGCAUGAAGCCGGAGUUGCUAGUAAUCGCAGGUCAGCAUACUGCGGUGAAUACGUUCUCGGGCCUU
rnacentral:rRNA from 1 species